GGGGCCAGGCAACCAGCUUAGGAGAGAGGAGGCCACACUCCCUGUUCUCCAGCCCAGCCCUGCUUCCUCCCAACCCCCAGAACUCAACUUUGGUGCCAUCACUCUUAACAGCAUGGAUGCCACCAGUGAGCGUGACUUCAUGGCUGAGUUCCUGUUCUAGGCUUCAUUCUGCAUGACCCAUCUCAGCAGGAUGGCCAGGGACCUCAUCCUCUGUGGCACCAAGGAAUUCAGCUUCGUGUAGCUCUCAGAUGCCUACAGCACCAGAAGCAGCCUGAUGCCCCAGAAGAAAAACCCCGACAGCUUGGAGCUGAUCUGGAGCAAAGCAAGGGUGUGUGAUUGGGCAGGAUCCAUGGAGCAUGUAACACAUCCUGGUGCUGUUCUCAGCCUUCUAUGGCCUCUUGGUCACUGUUUCCUACCAUCUGAGCUGGCAGAGCAGUGACCCAUCUGUGUUCAUGUCCUUCAUUCAAUGCAGACUGUUUCCUAAGUUUUUACAUCAAAAUCUGGAAGAGUCAGCUGCUGAUCCUCUCCCCAAGAAGAUGAAAGAUUCUGUGAUGACUAUUCCGUUGUUCCAGCACAUUUCAUAAAAAGGGUACUCCUCCAGUAUCCUCCAACAUCCUCCUCCAGGUUGGGAGCUCUUCAUUUGUCCCAACAUCCUUAACACAUUUAUUUAGUACAUAGAGGUGCUGUUCUAGGAACUUGGAGUACACAUGUGAUCAAGAUAGACUCCAGCCUACCUUCAUGGCAUUUGCAGUGUGGCUGGGGACACCUAUGAAGAACAAAGAAAUAGACAAUGCCACGUCCUGAAGAGUCUUCUGCAAAAGCUAAUGCAGGGGAAGGGGAGGGAGGGUGGCACAUUGGGGAGGAGAUGAGGAGUGAAGGAGAUGCUAUCUCUGUCAUCGCCUCCCCUGACCAUGACUACCUGCCCCUUGCAUAAGCCUGCACCUGCAAACAUGAAGUUGAAUCCAGAAAAAAGCAGGAAGAAAUACCCUGACCUUCUCUUAUCUUCUAGUCUCCUGGCAACACCUCCCAUUGGCUGAACCCAAGAGAAGCCACCUGUUACAAGAGUCCCUGACAUACUGCACACAGGGCAGCCUCCCUGGUGCCGAGCUAAAUAAGAAGAGAUGGGUAAUGAACUAGGGUGUGAAGAACAACCAGCCAGGGAUGAUUAGCAGAAUAUUUUCUCCUAAGCUAGUGGCAUUGCUUCAGCAUGUCCAUUACAGGCUGUUUCUUUGUAUUUUGGUAUGAAUUGAUUGUUUCACAAACAGUGUGAAUCAUUUAUUUUAUGAAACUAUUUUUAAAAAUAAUCAGAUGGCCUGGUGCUCAGGGGCAGAAAAAAAGGUGACCUUGGCAUCAUGACCCCACCUGGAAAUUGGGUCUCAAAGCCACAUUUGAGGCUAAGCAGGUGCAAGCACCAGUGAAAGAGCAGAAUCCAGGAGCCCAAACACCCGAGUUCACAUUCUGCUUCAGCUACUCACCUGCAAGGUGACGUAGAGAAAGUCCCUCCUCUCCCAGCCUCAGUUUCCCCAGCAUGCAUUAGUGAUCCCUCAUGGGCUUCUCAGCUCUGA